ensembl:lncRNA
UUCACUUUCACAUAUACAUGCAUCGAUGCUCCACAUUCCAGUUCAGAUGGUGGCGGUAAUGCACUAAUAAGCUAGUCUGCCAACCGCCAAUAAACGGAAAGAAGAAGAAGGAGAAGUCGCUUUGUGGGAGGCAUGUUUGAGUAAGUAAAACUCCUAUCUGCUUUAGUUUCAGGUUGAAGGCAGUGAAUGAGGAUCGUGUUUCACAUCAUAAAUCAUAAACUCACUGAUCCUCAAACACACAUCUGAUGUGCCUGAAUCUGGAUCAUAUUCUGUUACAGAAACAGAGUUAUUAUGACACAAACAGCUUCAUGAAGAAACCGGUUUUAGAGAAGAAGAAAGAGCGAUGCAUGGGUUUGAGAUGAGUUAUAUGAUGUACAAUGUUUAUAAUGAUCGAAAGGUCAACAUGAGAGUUUUACCAAAUAAAUAAUGUUCACAGCAUCGUCAUGUAAACUAAACAUGUUUUAGUAACAGCGAUCACUGCUGAUGGGGAUCUUUAUAAUGAGAGAGACCAGUUUGCUGUUGUCACGGUUGGUAAACCGUGAUCUCUGGGUGUUUGCACUUUGUGGUGAAGUCUGUGUGUUUCGCGUCUGCACUGAUUAGUUUGUGGGCGUCUCCGUUAAUUGUCAUCAGCAGCAGCUGUCACUCAUUACUCAUUCUAUAUAUAUUGGCUUGUCUCACGUCUUGUGUUUGUGAGAUCGUUGUUUUAUGUUGCUUACCCUGUUUGUUUGGCUUCAGUGUUGUCUGCGUUUGGAUGUUCGUGUUUUCCCGGAACCUCAUCCACUCUACGCACUUCCACUCAGCCACAAAUACUUACUUUCGGCUCUAUUCCCCGCAGUUCCUGUGCCAUCCUCUCCUGCUGCCUUCUCACCUUCAUCAUCCGGAUUCCUCACCACCUCACCACCAUCUUGGAUUGUUGUCUUCCCAGCAUCAUUGUCUUUUUCCUGUUUGUUUAUUUAUUUUCAUUAAAUCGUCUAACUCGCUAUUGUUUCCAGUCCUUCCUUCACCCCACCAUCACAGCUGUAACGAGACAGACUUUAUCUAAUAUCUCAUCACUUAAGAACAGUGCUACACUGGAUAAUGUGACUUUCUUUGAUGGUGUAGAAAGGGGAACUAUCUCUGCCUCAACUACUGUGAUGAGCAAUAACAGCAGCGUUAUUCAUCCUAGAAGCAAACCGUAUUUCAUGCCCAGAUACAUAGGCCCACACAUACUGUCAGGCUGGUCACAGUGUCAGGUUGAUAAACUCAUUCUGGAACUCAGACGUUUCUUCUCUUUUUUAGCUCAACACAAGGACAAACAACACUUCAUAACCAAACAAACAUAAAACAAGAUAAUGAAAAAAACUAAAAGAAAUUCAUUCAUGGGAGAAGAUCUGUGGAGCAUCACAAACCGAAGGAGAAUUAAACGAAGAGAAAAAGAAAAAUGCCAAACAAAGAGAGCAAGAGACAAUCUACUGAACCAGGAGAGAAACAGACACAGAGACUAACCAGAACAAACAGCAUCAAAAGUGGAAAACCAAACUGUGAGUGUUUAUGAUAUUUAAUAUAAAACAAUAUAACAUGUCUUUCAUCAAUACAUAAUCUACAAUAGCUUUAAUAUUUAUCCACUAUAUAAAAACUACAAGGAUAAUCAGAUGAUUGUGUUUUUAAAGUCUAGUUUCUGAUGAUCCAGACAGUUUUAUUCAGAGAGACUCUCAGACGAGGUGAGAUUCUCACUGAUCACACACACACACACACACACACACACACACACACACACACACACACACUAAUAACACUCAGUCCUUACACUGACAGUGUGUGUACUGUAUUAUACUGACAGUUACUGUAUGUGUGUGUUAUAGUUCUGAGAGUGUUUUCUCUUCAGACAGGAGCAGCUUCUUUCACCGGACCAGCAGAAUAUACUUUAUAUUCACUGAUUACAGUUUUUUACAAUCAUUUUGCAAUAAUAACAGAACCAUCUUGUAAUUUUUCAAAAGACACAAAACAUUAUUUGUAACACAGGCUGCCCAUUAUCCAAAACUUUACAUAUUGUGUUCAUAUCUUUAAAGAAGCCUUUUAUUUGCAGAAGAAAAAAAAUAAAUAAAUUGUUUUGGUUAGAUACCCAUAGUUUCACUGUAUUUGUUAUUACAAUCAUUAAAUAGAGUUGAAAAAAAUAUGUGAUCCAGGUUUCAUUAUUGUACUGUAGAUUAGGGAGAAUAGUACAGACACAGUGGUAUCAUUGAAUUACUGUAAUGUGAAAUUUACAGAUGAAAUAAAAAAUCACAACAUAGGUUUUCCAAAUUAAAAAAAAAUUGAUAAAAAAGAAAAAAAAACAAUAAUGUACUGUAAACUUAAGUGUUCCAUUAGAGGAUGAUGAAACUGAACAUUAUCCCAAACUAUUACGUAGGUCACACCAUCAGCUCUACAGAUCUGAUUUAGCUCCUCAGGGAAGGCUAUGAGGUGAGCUGCAUUAUAUGACCCAACACGAGGUCUGCGUCCAGCCACUCCAUCUUCUGAUAUAACUGCACACAUGGUGACCUCUCCUCCACGUCUUGGCCAGAUUAAAGCCUGCCUUAUCCAAAAAUAUGAAUUUGUGAUGGUUUUCCUCAGCAUCCAGCUCCAUCACCCUCUAAAAAGACAAAGAUAUGUCAUCACCUUUAUUUAUAUAGCACUUUUAACAGUACAGAUUGAGUUAAAGCAACUGUACAGCAUUAAUUAGGAAAAUAGUGUGUCAAAAAUGCAGAAGGACAAUAGAAAACACUAAUUUUUCAGUUAAAGGCAGUUCAUCUUUGAAUUCAGUGAUGUCAUCAUGCAGCUCAGUUCAGUUUAAAUAGUAUCUGUGCAAUCAUUUGCAAUCAAGUCAAUGAUAUCGCUGUAAAUAAAGUGUCCCCAACUAAGCAAGCCAGAGGCGACAGCAGCAAGGAACCAAAACUCCAUCAGUGACAGAAUGAAGAAAAAAACCUUGGGAGAAACCAGGCUCAGUCGGGGGCAGUUCUCCUCUGACCAGACGAAACCAGCAGUUCAAUUCCAGGCUGCAGCAAAGUCAGAUUGUGCAGAAGAAUCAUCUGUUUCCUGUGGUCUUGUCCCGGUGGUCGUCUGAGACAAGGUCUUUACAGGGGAUCUGUCUCUGGGGCUCAUCUAGUUGUCCUGGUCUCCGCUGUCUUUCAGGGCUCUAGAGGUCCUUUCUAGGUGCUGAUCCACCAUCUGGGCUGGAUACAUACUGGAUCCGGGUGACUGCAGUGACCCUCUGACCUGGAUACAGACUGGAUCUGGUGGCUACGGUGACCUCGGAAUAAGAGAGAAACAGACUAAUAUUAGCGUAGAUGCCAUUCUUCUAACGAUGUAGCAAGUACAUCGGGUGUUAUGGGACGUGUUCCCGGUUCCAGUUGUAAUAAUUAAUUCAGCCUAAAAAUCCUUUAACCACGUUCCUGGAGGCCUCCCACCACUGCAGGUUUUCUAUGUCUCCUUAAUCAAACACACCUGAUUCAGAUCAUCAGCUCAUUAAUAGAGAAUCCAAUCAGUUUUCAUAAAAGCUGUGCAUCGAGAGUAAUGCAACAGUUACUCAACAUUUUCAGCAACUGUAUCAAUUGAUUAGUUAGAUCUUUGUAAAGAAAUGAAUAGACACUCCACUUAGAUGUAAUUUGUAAAUGAGUUACAUUAGCCUACAUUACAAAUUACAAAUUACAUUACAAAUGAUAUUUGGCUUAAAUGUAUCCAAGCAUUUGAAAAAAAGUGUUAAGUGUUUUGAAAAAUGUGCAUUUUAAUCAUUGGUUGUGAAUUAUGUGUCUAAAGUUUUAAAAAAUGACAUGAAGGUUCUGUUAUUAGUGCAAACAUGAUUGUAAAAAAACCUGUAAGCAUUGUAUAUUUUAUAUUGUUUAUAUUUUAUUGUUAUUAUAUAAUAAGAAAUUUUAGACCUGUAUAAUCAAGCCCUAUCAGUUUUAUUCACUGUAAAAAAUAUAUAUAUAUUUUUCAAUGUUGUCACAUGGGCUUUUGUGUUUGUUUUAAUUUGUGUUUUUUGACCUAGUUUCUGUCUUCCAUUAAUUGUGUCAUUAUUCAGGUGUGUCUUGUCAAUUAUCCUCAUUUACUCUCCCAUAUAACUUGUAGUCAGUCCAGUGUUUCUUUUUGCGGAAGUGAUGCAAAGUCCGAUUCUUUUCCGCGAACCGGUUCUUUUUUGAACAGAUCGGCUCAUUGAACCGGUUCAAAAAGCAGAUUCAUCGGUUCCUAACGUCAUCAAGCAAUAACGUCACUACGCAUUUCUUUUCUAACAUCUUUUAGUGCCAUGUUGUAUCAAUGAAAAUUUCAAAUACGUAAUUUGUGUAAACACAUAUUGAAACAUUUAAAAAUAUAAAGUUAUUUGUGUUAAAGCAUAAUGCUGAUUGAUGCCAUAAUUCAUGGUGUUUGUGGUCACAGUUUCAUUCGCGGAUCCUUUGUCAGAUAUGACUGACUGACCAGUAUUGACUAGCCUACGACUUGGAUAUGAUUCCUAUAAGUUUCACACCUACAGCACACAUUACAGAUUCACAAACGCGGAUACAUGUCUACAGUAUAAAGAAUGAAUAAACCAGUCUUAUAAACUCCUUGAUUUCGCUGAAGCAACUAUAUACUAUAUAUAAUAUAUAUAAUACAAUACUAUAUAUAAUAUACAUGCACAAUAAACUAUUGUAAAAUUUAUUUACAUCACUCAACAGAAAGGUCAUAAUAAGCAUAUUUCCAGACUUGCACAGUGCCGUCAACUCACUCAUCAGAAUCUUCGGUAAUCCUCGGCAAACUUCGCCACGGCUCAUUCGGUUCUUAUUGAGUCCUCGGUAAUCCUCGGCAAACUUCGACAGUUGGUUGAACCGGCUCAUUCGGUUUUUUGAAUUGGACGUGCUACUUCGGAUGUGUGUCCUGUGUCAUCAACCCGGAACUAAAGUUCGAUUCAGUUCGAAUGAGAUCCGGCUCAAAAGAACGAUUCGUUCAAGAACCGAACAUCACUAUUGUGCGGUCUCCUCAACAUGACUUCCUGUUCUGUCUCCUCAACGUGACUUCCUGUUGUGGAUUACCUUGUGUGGAUAAUAUUAAAGACUUUUUCGUUCAUUUUCAUGCGAAUUCAUUCUACACAGAAUCGUGACAUUAAUAUAACAAAUUAUUGAAGUGCAUUUAGCCUACAAGAAAAUACUAUUUCAGUUUCUUUAAUUUUUCACAAUGUCAUGUUUAAUUUACCUUUUUUCAGUUAUUUCUGAAAUAAACUAGAAAUUUCUGAGUGAAAAUUGUUCUACUCUAAUUGUUUUUCAGUGCAGAUAUGACUGACAGUAGCUUAUAAAAUAAAUGUGUAAAAAUGGGUUUUGUGUUUUCUGAAAUAAUCUUAUUGCUGAUAUCAUAGCUUUUUACUCUACAAUGCAAUACAAUACAAACAAAACAAAGCUUCUUUCUAUACAUAAUGCUUUUUAAAUAUUAUUUAAACUAUUAUUACAUUUCAUAUUGAUAAAAAUGUGAAUAUUUAUGUUUUUAAGAAUUGGCUUUUGGAAAAUUGGCUUUUACUGUAACAAAUUCACAGUUCUUAUAAAAAUAUUUUUCUUAUCUAUUUUUGAAUUUUGCUGUAUUGUCUAUUUUAAUAGACAAGUGAGAGGGAGUUCAUCAUCAGAAUGGCUAUUAAAGUAUGGUUAAUAUAUUAUUAUAUAAAUCAAUUUUAAUAUAACUUGCGUCUAUUUGACUAGAAAAAUCUUUAGUAGAGAGCAGGCCUACUUAGCACAAGGAAGCGCUCCAUUUUUAUGCUCCAUAAAAUGCAUAAUGACAUUACGAAAAGUGCGACAGCAGCAAAUCACGUCAUUGUACUGCAUGAGUUAUGCAUGCAUAAGGAGUCAAAUGUUUUUCACCCUAAUUAGAUUAUGAAGAAUGAUUUGUUGAUCAUGUUUUCCCUUUAAUUCAUGCCUUCCGCAAUAUAUUUUUCAAUUAGGCUACUUUAAAAAAGUGGUAGGGACAAUAUCGACCCUGGCAAAAAGUGGUGGGGACAUGUCCCACCUGUCCCACCCGCAUAUUAUGCCUAUGAUCGUUAGUAUUUAAUAAAUUACCAGU